GGCGUCCUUCUAGGCAGACAUGCUUUUUCUCUGUCCUUGAUAGACGUGGAGUUUGCAGCUGGAAAUUACGUCCCAGCUUUUCUUUUCUUUUCGUUAAUAUGAAGAUACCCCUUACAUCUUAAUGGUAUUGAAGAAAUAAACAUUUUGGAUGGGCAAAAGGAGAAGUAGGAAACACUCCUCUCCUCACAACGCUGAUGCUAACGAGAUGGAACUUGGCCGUGAGUCUGUUAUGGAGCCCCCUUGCCAGGCCGAUUUUCCUAGUCUGCCUGAAACACCAAAAAAAACUGAUUCUCUGGCUAAAAAAAGGAAUCGAGUCGGUGCGAAACCUGAUUCCGAGAAUACUUCGGAAGUGCUUGAAGCUAUCCAUGCACUUGGCUUGAAACUCGACCAAACGCAUUUAAAGGUUUCAGCGAUUGAGAAAACUACUGAGCUCACUUCGGCCAAGGUGGACAGUUUAGCAACUUCUGUGCAACAGCUCAUCGUCGAAGUUAACUCUCACGACGAACAGUUAUCCCUAAUGGAAAAAGAAAUGCAAGCUCUAAAGGCUGAAAACGCGACUUUGAAGUCUAAUAUAGCAGAGGCUCAACGUUACACUCGACGAUGGUCCCUCAAAUUGCAUGGCGUGAAUGAGGCUGAUGGUGAAAAUGUCAGACGGAUAACUAUCGAUGCUCUUGCGAAGGUUGCUCCAGAUGUUCAAGACCAGCUUGCUCGGGUGGUGGACGUAGCUCAUCGUCUUGGUCGUAAUUCAACACCACCAAAUGCUAUUCUUAAGCGACCCAUUGUCAUUCUCUUCUCGAAGCGCCGUUACCGUGAUGAGAUUUGGAGGGCAGCCAAAAACUCCAGAUUUUUACUGGACAACGCUUUACGCAUCUCUGAGUUGAUGUCGCCUGAAGACAAAGCGGCAAGAGAGAAACUGGCCGAGGGUGAAGAAGGCUAGAGAGGAAGGUAAAAGGGCUGUAUUUCGUGGUCCAUAUGCAUACAUCGAGGGGAAAAGGAUUGACACUAAUGACUGAUUGAAUUCCGAUUGAAAAACCAUAAGAGGCAUCUUCGACUUUCCUUAACAUGCCGGGCG
rnacentral:lncRNA from 1 species